CCGGAACAGGCCUGGACAGAGGGUCUCUCACUUAUCCAGGAAGGCGUGGCCACAACGACCUCUCAGAUAAAGCAAGCCGGCAGCGGAGAGGCGAAUUAACUCACCUAAGUCUUGCGGGUUGGGUUCCCUGGGAAGGAGACUCUAAGGCAGAGAUGGGGAAACUGACGCAGAGAGAAGCUGAGUAACUUGUCCAGUUACUAAGAGGCUGUGCCCAGAUAUACAAGUUGAAUUCCAUCCCAGUCCUGCUUCCAAACACCUGGAGAAGAAAAAACUGGAAAAUCUGAGCAGUCCCUCAACAAGCACCCUCUUUUUUGGCAGACAGAUUGACAGAAGAAAAACAAAUUUAAUUAGGUAUGUAUGGGGCCCCACAAAGACAGUGAACCCCAAGGACAAGUUG
rnacentral:lncRNA from 1 species